AACGGUCUAUACCUGCGGUACCUGCGGAAGGAUCAUUAUAGAGUGGUAAACCCCCCGUAAAAGGGGGGGACCUCCUGUCCUUUGUAGGCUCUUUUUUAAAAGGGCUUUUUUUAAUUUUCUGCUUCGGUGGGGUUAUCCCACCGGAACAACCUCAAAACUCUUAUCAAAAAAUCGUUCUGUCUGAGAACCUUUUAUAAUAAAAAAAAACUUUCAACAACGGAUCUCUAGAUCGGAAGAGCA
rnacentral:misc_RNA from 1 species